ACCUUAAGGUUUCAGACUUUCAAGGGUGAUUGAAAAGUAUCCCUCGGUGUCUGGAAACACACGUUCAUAUUAUAAUUUUCUUUAAUUGAAUGACUAUUUUCCCUGGUUUAUCAUAAACUAACAUUUUCAGCUAUAUAUAAUAAUUCUGAAUUAAAUUUUGUUUCUUUCUACACUAGAUAAUUCUAGAAGAUUGUGAUGAACGACUUACCACUGUGAGACACCAGCUGGAUAUUAAAGAAAAUGCUGAACUGAGAUACCUAAGAGCUUGGAGAUGUCUGA